rnacentral:rRNA from 1 species
CCCCUAGAUGUUCUGGGCCGCACGCGCGCUACACUGAACAGUUCAACAAGUCUUAACCUUGGCCGAUAGGUCUGGGUAAUCUUUGAACGCUGUUCGUGAUUGGGAUAGACCUUUGCAAUUAUGGGUCUUCAACGAGGAAUUCCUAGUAAACGCAAGUCAUCAGCUUGCAUUGAUUACGUCCCUGCCCUUUGUACACACCGCCCGUCGCACCUACCGAUUGAAUGGUCCGGUGAAAUCUCGGGACGGCGGCUUGGUCGCUUGCGUCCGACUGCUGAAACUUGAUUAAAUCAUAUCAUUUAGAGGAAGGUGAAGUCGUANCA